rnacentral:rRNA from 1 species
CAUUAUGAGAGUUUGAUCCUGGCUCAGGACGAACGCUGGCGGCGUGCCUAAUACAUGCAAGUCGAACGCUUUUUCUUUCACCGGAGCUUGCUCCACCGAAAGAAAAAGAGUGGCGAACGGGUGAGUAACACGUGGGUAACCUGCCCAUCAGAAGGGGAUAACACUUGGAAACAGGUGCUAAUACCGUAUAACACUAUUUUCCGCAUGGAAGAAAGUUGAAAGGCGCUUUUGCGUCACUGAUGGAUGGACCCGCGGUGCAUUAGCUAGUUGGUGAGGUAACGGCUCACCAAGGCAACGAUGCAUAGCCGACCUGAGAGGGUGAUCGGCCACACUGGGACUGAGACACGGCCCAGACUCCUACGGGAGGCAGCAGUAGGGAAUCUUCGGCAAUGGACGAAAGUCUGACCGAGCAACGCCGCGUGAGUGAAGAAGGUUUUCGGAUCGUAAAACUCUGUUGUUAGAGAAGAACAAGGAUGAGAGUAAAA